rnacentral:rRNA from 1 species
AUACGAAGGUCCCAAGCGUUAUUCGGAAUCACUGGGCGUAAAGAGUACGUAGGCGGUUUGGUAAGUCAGGUGUGAAAUCUCGAAGCUCAACUUCGGAACUGCAUCCGAUACUGCCAGACUAGAGUAAUGGAGAGGCAGGUGGAAUUCUCGGUGUAGCAGUGAAAUGCGUGGAUAUCGAGAGGAAGACCAAUGGCGAAGGCAGCCUGCUGGACAUUUACUGACGCUGAGGUACGAAGGCUAGGGGAGCGAAAGGGAUUAGAAACCCCAGUAGUCC